rnacentral:rRNA from 1 species
GUAGGCGGCAAGCGUUGUCCGGAAUUAUUGGGCGUAAAGCGCGCGCAGGCGGUCCUUUAAGUCUGAUGUGAAAGCCCACGGCUCAACCGUGGAGGGUCAUUGGAAACUGGGGGACUUGAGUACAGAAGAGGAAAGCGGAAUUCCAAGUGUAGCGGUGAAAUGCGUAGAGAUUUGGAGGAACACCAGUGGCGAAGGCGGCUUUCUGGUCUGUAACUGACGCUGAGGCGCGAAAGCGUGGGGAGCAAACAGGGAUUAGAUACCCUGGUAGUCCACGCCGUAAACGAUGAGUGCUAAGUGUUAGGGGGUUUCCCGCCCCUUAGUGCUGCAGCUAACGCAUUAAGCACUCCGCCUGGGGAGUACGGCCGCAAGGCUG